rnacentral:rRNA from 1 species
UACGUAGGGAGCAAGCGUUGUUCGGAUUUACUGGGCGUAAAGGGCGCGUAGGCAGCGCGGUAAGUCACUUGUGAAAUCUCUGAGCUUAACUCAGAACGGCCAAGUGAUACUGCAGUGCUAGAGUGCAGAAGGGGCAAUCGGAAUUCUUGGUGUAGCGGUGAAAUGCGUAGAUAUCAAGAGGAACACCUGAGGUGAAGACGGGUUGCUGGGCUGACACUGACGCUGAGUGCGCGAAAGCCAGGGGAGCAAACGGG